UACGAAGGGGGCUAGCGUUGCUCGGAAUCACUGGGCGUAAAGGGCGCGUAGGCGGGUUAUUAAGUCAGAGGUGAAAUCCUGGAGCUCAACUCCAGAACUGCCUUUGAUACUGAUAGUCUUGAGUAUGGGAGAGGUGAGUGGAACUGCGAGUGUAGAGGUGAAAUUCGUAGAUAUUCGCAAGAACACCAGUGGCGAAGGCGGCGCACUGGCCCAUUACUGACGCUGAGGCACGAAAGCGUGGGGAGCAAACAGG
rnacentral:rRNA from 1 species